rnacentral:rRNA from 1 species
GACGGAGGAGGCAAGCGGUGUCCGGAAUUAUUGGGCGUAAAGGGUACGUAGGCGGCUGGUCAAGUCUGGGGUCAAAGGCCACAGCUCAACUGUGGGAAGGCCCUGGAAACUGACCGGCUAGAGUGAGGUAGGGGUUGCGGGAAUUCCCGGUGUAGCGGUGAAAUGCGUAGAGAUCGGGAAGAACACCUGAGGCGGAAGCGCGCAACUGGGUCUCAAUUGACGCUGAGGUACGAAAGCUAGGGGAGCGAAUGGG